ACAAAGGAAGAAGAAGAAAAAAAC
rnacentral:sRNA from 1 species